GGCCUCGCGCGCGGGUUCGGAACUACCAAAACAUACUUAUAUAAAAAAUGGUCCCUGGCAGAUAAUGACAUUUCAAUAGAAAAUUUCCAAUUUUGAUCGUCGCGAGGUCGUUGACAUUAUGGAUGUUUUUGACAACUGUGGUUUUCUAUCAACAAGAUAAAAGAUCAUUACAAUACCUACGGAAAUUUCUAUCUCUGUCUGUUAUAAAUGAAUAAAAAUAUAAAAUAAAAAUGUCACACGGCAUGUUUACAAACGUACUUUGGUAUUUGGAAUUUUUUGCUUUUAUAAUUUUAUUGGUAUUAUUUUUCAUGCUAGUACUGUAUAUAGCUAGUUUGAACUACGUCUACUACAAUCCCCGCUAUGAUAAGCUUAAAAAAUACAUGUCUGACGACACUUGGCUGAUUCAGGCGUAAAAAUAGUUGAUUUUCUAUAUACCUACGUCUAGUGAAUGCAAACCAAUCAAGUUGCCGGAGAUGUACAGCCCCAGACUCAAGCUGCAAAGAAGUUCAUCAGAAUAGACCAUGAGAAAGAACAAAAAAUAUACCGAAUUAAUCAACACCCGCAUAUGGUCCUACGACCAACACGCCAGAGACCAGUGUGCUUUGAAAGUGACUGUGUUUGGUUUUGCCGUUUAAUGUUCAGUAUAUUAACUAUUGCCUUAUGUUAUUAUUUCGCGUACGCCUUUCUUUCUGAUACUAAACUCAGGUUUGGUAUAUUUGUGCCAUAGUUAUUAUUACGCCGACAUUAAAUAAAAAAACUUUAAGUAGAUA